rnacentral:rRNA from 1 species
AUUGAACGCUGGCGGCAGGCCUAACACAUGCAAGUCGAACGAGUGGCGGACGGGUGAGUAAUGUCUGGGAAACUGCCUGUUGGAGGGGGAUAACUACUGGAAACGGUCGCUAAUACCGCACACCAUCAGAUGUGCCCAGAUUGGAUUAGCUAGUUGGGGGGGAAACGGCUCACCAAGGCGACGAUCCCUAGCUGGUCUGAGAGGAAGACCGGCAACACGGGGACGUGGACACGGUCCAGAAUCCUACGGGGGGCAGCAGUGGGGAUUAUUGCACAAGUGGCGCAAGCCUGAUGCAGCCAUGCCGCGUGUAUGAAGAAGGCCUUCGGGUUGUAAAGUACUUUCAGCGGGGAGGCGUUACCCGCAGAAGAAGCACCGGCUAACUCCGUGCCAGCAGCCGCGGUAAUAC